rnacentral:rRNA from 1 species
GAUGAACGCUGGCGGCGUGCCUAAUACAUGCAAGUCGAGCGAACAGACGAGGAGCUUGCUCCUCUGACGUUAGCGGCGGACGGGUGAGUAACACGUGGAUAACCUACCUAUAAGACUGGGAUAACUUCGGGAAACCGGAGCUAAUACCGGAUAAUAUAUUGAACCGCAUGGUUCAAUAGUGAAAGACGGUUUUGCUGUCACUUAUAGAUGGAUCCGCGCCGCAUUAGCUAGUUGGUAAGGUAACGGCUUACCAAGGCAACGAUGCGUAGCCGACCUGAGAGGGUGAUCGGCCACACUGGAACUGAGGCACGGUCCAGACUCCUACGGGAGGCAGCAGUAGGGAAUCUUCCGCAAUGGGCGAAAGCCUGACGGAGCAACGCCGCGUGAGUGAUGAAGGUCUUCGGAUCGUGAAACUCUGUUAUUAGGGAAGAACAAAUGUGUAAGUAACUAUGCACGUCUUGACGGUACCUAAUCAGAAAGCCACGGCUAACUACGUG